AAUAGAGAACAGCAAGGAGACCGUUGCAAUAAUCCAGGUAUGAAUUGAAAGCUGGAGGUAAGGUGGUAGAGGCAGAAACAAUAAGAAUGUAACAGAUAUGAAACAUGUUAAAAAACAAUAGGACUUGAGGACCUCAGGUGAUGAAGGAGCGAGAGAAGAAGGUUGGGAAAAUAGGACUUGGGAAGUAGGAUAAACACAGGGAGUCGCUGAGGGUCAGAGAGGAUAAAGCUGGUAAGCGGGAGGUGAGCUGUGAACCCGGACACUGAAUUGCCAAGCAUUUGUUGAACACUUCAUUGGACACAAAGGACAGUACUUGGCACCUAGUUGGGAAGAUAAAAUAUAUACAUAUGAAAACAACUGGAACACAAACUACAUAUGGAACAGAUGAACAAAUGGAAAAUGCCGUGGUGUAAAUGCUAUAUAAAAAUACCAGAAUUGCGUUUGUAAAGGGAGGAAAGUAAGGUUCAGCAACUUUUCCUGCAUUUAAGAAUAAAAGAAUCAAUUGGAAAAAAUUUGAACAC
rnacentral:lncRNA from 1 species